GCAUCACACCAGAGAAAUUUAGACAGCCAGCUAAAGGGUGCUGGCACACGUAGAGAGAAGGAUCGACACCACGGAGCCGGGCUGGGAUUUAACAUUGUGUCCGUACGAAGCACAGUGCUUUUGUCUCCCGCUGCCCUUUGAGCUCUGAACACUGCAAGUUUGGAAACCAGCCUUCGUCGCAAAAUGACCCGCGUUCUUCCAGCCACAAACCUCCCCCCUGUGUGCCCCGUAGCCUCCGCGAGGAGCCCUGAGGGUGGGACACCAUGCGAUGAGCCUGCCCCGGGAGAGAUGCCAGCGCCACAGCCAGGAAAGCUGGAGCUGAGCUCAGCCAGACGCCCUGGUGCGAGGCCACGGGUGGCAGGCGGCUGGCGAGGGGACGCCGUGCUCGGCUGCGCGUCUCCAUCCUGAGCCGGGACAGGCUGCUGAGGGACAUCGAGGUGAGAGCGAACACGCAGCCGCCAGGCCCCCACUUGCACGCGCGCCAGAGAAAUGCGGCGGUCUGUGCAUGCACGCACACGUGUGCAC